UGAGCCGGCCGGGUGGCCGCGGCUCGGCCGCUUCGGCGGCGGGGCUGAGGAAGGUCGGGGCUCCGCAGGGCAGGGUGCUGGCUAGCGGCCAGUCGGGGUGACCCGCAGGAAAGUGCCACAGAGAACAAACCGCCGAUGGCGGCCCGGGAGACCGGGCUCACAGGCAAGGGUGAAACGGUGCGGUAAGAGCGCACCAGCGCCCGGGGUGACCCGGGCGGCUCGGCAAACCCCACCCGGAGCAAGGCCAAGCGUGGGACGAGCGGCCCGCUCAACGUCCCCAGGUAGGCCGCACAGAUGGAUGGCCACCCAGGCGCCUCGGCGCUGGACAGAACCCCGCCUACAGGCCGGCUCACCGU
rnacentral:RNase_P_RNA from 1 species